rnacentral:rRNA from 1 species
GACGAACGCUGGCGGCGUGCCUAAUACAUGCAAGUAGAACGCUGAGGACUGGUGCUUGCACUGGUCUAAGGAGUUGCGAACGGGUGAGUAACGCGUAGGUAACCUACCUCAUAGCGGGGGAUAACUAUUGGAAACGAUAGCUAAUACCGCAUGACAAUAGGGUACACAUGUACCCUAUUUAAAAGGGGCAAAUGCCUCACUAUGAGAUGGACCUGCGUUGUAUUAGCUAGUUGGUAAGGUAACGGCUUACCAAGGCGACGAUGGGUAGGGGAGCUGAGAGGCUUAUCCCCCACAUUGGGACUGAGACACGGCCCAA